CCAAAAACAUACCCACUUCAUUUUCAUUUACCCGGGCCCCGCCACACACACAUACACAAACACUAAAAACACACACCGUAACCACCGUCUCCGUCCGUUUUCCGGCGUAUGUUUCUGAUCGCUUUUAUCAAUCAGAAUGCAAUUCCAACUUAAAUCUUUCUGAGGAAGUCUUGUGCUACCAGUGAAGUUGUGAUCGUUGUUGAAGUUUGGUUGUGGACCCUUGAUGACCGUUGGACAUUCUUAGCGUGAUGUUAACUUGUUGUAGCCGCUCAAGGUGAACAGGUUAGCUCAUAGACGUAUUGGAUGGUUGAUUGUUUGAUCAUGCUAAACUUGGACUUGGACUUCUUGGAUCCGUGAUUCAUUUCCCGAAUUAGGGGUUAUGCUUAUGUGUGAUCCGGAUACUUGCAUUAUUGAAUGGUUUGUAUGGAUUACUUGAUCCUUUUUAUGCAUUUAGACUUACUCUA